rnacentral:misc_RNA from 1 species
UCUUCAUCGCAUACUCCACAAGGUCAUGCAAAAGGUGUUUGCUUUGUUGCUGGCUGAAUUUCGCAAGUUAGGUGCCACAAUCAUAUUUGCAAAUUUUUCAAAAGUUAUCAUAGACACUGGAAAGCUCAGUCUAUCUGCUGCAAAAGCUUACUGUGAUAGCUUGCUCAAAACUUUGCAAUCUAGAGAGCUGUUUGAGUGGAUUGAGCUUGAGCCACUGCAGUUCUGGCAUUCCUUGCUUUUCAUGGAUCAGUAUAACUAUGGUGGAAUUCCAGCCAGAGCUGAUGACAGUUCACAAAGUGAAUCACAAGGGGAACAUUCCCAAAGAGAAGAAUCGCAAGUGGAUAUUGUAUCAAGCUGGAACAUUGCUGAAUACUUACCCAAGAAAAUUCAAGAUCAUUUUGUUUUAAUUGUCUCAGAGUUUAUGUUUAUUCCCUGGGAUUAUGCACAAAAGCAGGCUGCAAACAGAGCAUCUUUGCAGAAUGUCAGCUUAUGUACUCCAUCAAUCACCAUUGCAGCUGCUGAGACAUUUGAAUCACACUUGGUUGAGUAUCUUAGAGGGCAGAUCAGCACAUACUUUACAGACAAACUGCUUGGAAUUGUUCGUGAUACCCUUCUUCAUAUGAAGGGGAUAAACAAGUCUGAGAAUGAUCAACAAAUUUCAUCUAGUUUCCCACAACUUGUGGGUAACAUUAAUAGAGGGGAUCCUGCACUGGAAUUUAUUAAGCAUGUGUGUGCUGUUCUGGCCCUUGACCACAAUGUGCAGCAUGAAGUUCUGGUGAUGAGAAAGAAUCUGUUAAAAUAUGUGCGAGUACGGGAGUUUGCUCCUGAAGCUGAGUUUCAUGAUCCCUGCCCUUCCUUUGUCUUGCCAAACGUAAUUUGCAGUUACUGCAAUGACUGCAGAGAUCUGGACCUGUGUCGUGAUUCAGCUUUACUGGCUCAGGAGUGGCGCUGUGCUGUCCCACAGUGCGGCCAGCCUUACGACCGAGAGGUGAUGGAGAAUUCUCUUCUUCAAAUUGUACGGCAGAGGGAACGUCUCUAUCAUUUGCAGGAUCUGGUGUGCAUUAGGUGCAAUCAGGUCAAAGCCGCACAUUUAGCGGAACAGUGUGCAUGUGCUGGAUCCUACAGAUGCAAGGAAGAUUUGUCUGAAUUCCGCAGCAAAAUGCAGAUUUUCUUAAAUGUAGCCAUUCGCCAGAAGUUUCAGCUCCUUCAAGAGUGUACUUCAUGGAUUUUAGAAAUUCAUUAGCUGUGGGCGUUGGUGUUUCAAUUUCGUAGCAUUCAGCAAAAAUUUCAUGUUUCUUGUCUGGCCACUGAUGGCAACUGGACUUGCCUGCAUACAAAGGUACGAAAUGUAGCUCAUCUGUAAAUCAAUUCAGAUGAGUGAAUGCAACUAGCAGAUGUUGAAGAAUGGCUGAGCACCUGAGGUGACGUUUGAAAGAAGUGUUGGUGAGAUUGUAAAAUUUCCAAUCGAAAAAGGUGAUCACAUUAAUUGAGGCGAUAAAUCUUCAAAUCUCAGUUGCUAAAUUCUGAUGAAGCAGUUGAUGCAAAUGGACUGGGUGCUGUAGUCAGUUGUGUCGAUCAUUAGUAGUGAUGAUGCAUAUUGAGGCAACCACUAAGGGAAAAUUUUAGAAGGUCCUGAAUUAAUUUUAUGUUCUUCCCUCCCCUCCCCUUCCCCAGUUUAUUUGUUGCAGUGGAAGGAAAGAGUAGGAGGAAUUUUUAGAUAUAAAUGUGUCAUCACACAAACUAUUACAUUGUUCAUAAACUUAUUUGUUGAUAUAUGUAUCCAAAUAUGAAAAUUUCAUUUUUCAUCUUGCUAUUGCAAUAGUUAUGUAAACUAAGGAGUGGAUUUGGUGUAAUGGUGAAGUUACUCCAUUUGUAACUUGGAGGUCAUGGGUUUGAGCUGUGA